GGGACGGGAAGGUACCUGUUCAUGCAGUCGAGCGGACAGAAGGGAGCUUGCUCCCGGAUGUUAGCGGCGGACGGGUGAGUAACACGUGGGUAACCUGCCUGUAAGACUGGGAUAACUCCGGGAAACCGGAGCUAAUACCGGAUAGUUCCUUGAACCGCAUGGUUCAAGGAUGAAAGACGGUUUCGGCUGUCACUUACAGAUGGACCCGCGGCGCAUUAGCUAGUUGGUGGGGUAAUGGCUCACCAAGGCGACGAUGCGUAGCCGACCUGAGAGGGUGAUCGGCCACACUGGGACUGAGACACGGCCCAGACUCCUACGGGAGGCAGCAGUAGGGAAUCUUCCGCAAUGGACGAAAGUCUGACGGAGCAACGCCGCGUGAGUGAUGAAGGUUUUCGGAUCGUAAAGCUCUGUUGUUAGGGAAGAACAAGUGCGAGAGUAACUGCUCGCACCUUGACGGUACCUAACCCGAAAGCCACGGCUAACUACGUGCCAGCAGCCACGGUAAUACGUACGUGGCAAGCGUUGUCCGGAAUUAUUGGGCGUAAAGGGCUCGCAGGCGGUUUCUUAAGUCUGAUGUGAAAGCCCCCGGCUCAACCGGGGAGGGUCAUUGGAAACUGGGAAACUUGAGUGCAGACUAGGAGAGUGGAAUUCCUCGUGUAGCGGUGAUAUGCGUAUAGAUGUGGAAGAACACCGGUAUCUAAAGCGACUCUCUCCUCAGUAUCUCACUCCUAAGAGUCAGAUACU
rnacentral:rRNA from 1 species